rnacentral:rRNA from 1 species
AUAAUCAGUUGGCUUAUAAUUGAAGUCUAGUAUGAAUGGGACCACGGGGAUAAUCUGUCUUUAAUUUUAGUAUAUGAACUUACUUAUUAAGUGAAAAUUCUUACUUUUAGAAAAAAGACGAGAAGACCCUAGAAAUUUUUUAAUUAAUAUUUUGUUGGGGCGACAGGGUAACAUAAAACUUACCUACCAAAUAGGAAACUUUUAAGUUGUGUAAAAAAAUUACUCUAGGGAUAACAGCAUAAUAUUUUAAAGAUUGUGACCUCGAUGUUGGACUAGGAAAUACAUUACUUAAAAGGUAAUUUAUAUGGUUCUGUUCGAACAUUUACUCUCCUACAUGAUC